rnacentral:lncRNA from 10 species
UUAAAAUCCCACAGCAUGUUCUCAGUCUAAUCUCCUUUUAUCUCCGCAACCCGAUUUCAGCAAUUGUGUUUAUCACUUAAAUGCCUCCUCUUGUUCAUAACUUUGAUGAUUCUCACAUGGGCUAUAGACUGCUGUUUACUCUAAUUGUAUUCUUAUUAACAUUCCCAUUUUAAAUGACUAAAAAUAAGACUUUGACCUUCCAAAGUGAAUGACUGCUUACUGCCCUUCCUUGGGGAGAAAUUAACUUUGGAAAUAUCUGCAAAGUAUGUACAUGGUUAUAUGUCCAUUCAUUUUCCUUCUUAUUUGCUUCUUUAAGGUGGAGUCUCCUAUUUAUUUUCUGGAAGAGACGUGGGGACAAAGGAUCACUGGGCCCCAAAGAAAAUGUGAGAAGAUCAUAUUGACAAACUGAAAACGUUUCUAUAAGAAACAGGUGUAAGAGAGCUGCUCAAGUGACUGACAGACCUGCAGUAGGAAGUAGAACUGCCUUGCCCUCUGAAGCUUGAAGCAGAGGUACCUGGCCAAACCCAGAUCAGCCAAAUUUAAAUCAACCUCAGACACGAGACAUCAGUUGUGUUUCUGUAACAACAGCACCCCAAACAGUGCUUGUACGGGCCAUAUUGCCAAUCUGUACCUGCAAGGAACAAGGAGUAUAUUGUGUAGCUCAUCAAGAGGAAAAGGACAUUAUAUGUAAAACAAAUAUAAGAAGACUCUGAAAGUUGGAGAAAAGACGUUAGACCAUCUGGAGACCUUGGGAUCUGAGGAACAACAUAGCAUGUCAGUGAAGACCACAUGGGGACAUGGAAGCAGUGACAAGACCCCUCUACCCUCUCUCAGCAGUAAGAGGAGCCCCUCCCCAUCCCAGGUGUCAACAGAGGCUGAGUGGGAACCUGGACUUCUACCCCCACCUGGUAGUAACAAGACAGGCUCCACCCCUUUCUUUGCCAGAGUGGUGUUGGAAGAAGCCAAUAAAAACAAAAGGUGUAAAUGAGACUGAGCGUCUCAUAACGUGAUAUCCAAAAUGUCUAGCUUUCCAUCGAAGAUCAUAUCAAGAGCCAGGAAAAUCUCAACUUGAAUGGAAAAAGACAAUCAAUAGAUCCCAACAUCAAAAUGACAGAGAUGGCAGAAUUAUCUGACAAAUAUUUUAAAGACAGCCAUUAUAUAAAUGUUUGAAAUAAACUAUUACAAACAUACUUGAAACAAACAAAAAAUAGAAAGUCUCAGCAGAAGUAUAGAAGAUAUAAAGAAGAACCAGAUAAAAAUUUUAGAACCGAAAAAUACAAAAGCCGAAACAAAAGACAACAGCAGAAUAAACGAGACAGGAAGAAAAUCAAUGAACUUGAAGAUAGAGCAGCAGAAAUUAAGCAAUAUGAAUAACAGAGAGAAAAUAGACUAAAAAAAUGAAAAGAACCUCAGGGACUUAGGAAACUAUAACAAAAGAUCUAACAUUCCUGUCACUGGAGUCUUGCAAGGAGAGAAGAAAAAGGGCGGGGCUAAGAAAAGGACACAAAGAAAUCAUAGCUAAAAGCUUCCAAAAAAAGUGAUGUAAUCUUAUUGGCAAUUAAGAAUUCAAAUUGAAUAAUAAAAUGACAUUUUUAUCCUUUGCUUCUCUAAUUGGCAAAAAAUAUUUAUGAUUGAUGACAUUGCAUAUUAGUAGGUAUAUGAGAAAUGAGGAUUCUUACAGUUAGUGACAGUUUAAAUUGAUGAUAUGUUUUUCAUUAAGUUUUUCUGAAUUGUCUAUUGCUAUCAAAAUUGUAAAUGUGCACAUUCCCUGAUGCUGAAAUUACACUUCCAGAAAUAAAUCUAUCCCAUGAAAUAGCCACAUAUGUUCAGAAAUCAUAUAAACUAUAUAAAGAAUAUUUAUUGCAAUAUCAUGUGUAAUCAUGGAAAAUUACAAAUAAAAACAUCCAUUAAAACAGAAAUAGUUAAUGAAUUGUGACUUAUUUGUACUAUAGAUGUGACAGAGUUGUUUAAUAAAUGUAUGAGAUUGACUUACACAAUUUGAUAUGGAAAUAACUCUAAGUUUUAAAAUGCUAGUAAAGGAACACUAUGUAUAAUAUGGUCCCAAACACAAGUACACCAAGAAAGGUGUAUGUUUGUGAAUACAAUGCAUAGAAAGUGGACAUAGAGAUAAGACAUUUUAAGAGUAUCCCCAGCUCCAAGCUGUGUUUGCUUGAGCCUUUGAAUAAACUGAAAAAAACAGAAAAUGUCACUGUUAAAGAAUGGUGUGGAAGGACUGAUAGAGAUUAUGAGGUGAUCAAAAUCUCCCUAAAGCAAAGGUUGACAGUUAAUUGAGUUUGACAGAGGUGGGUGACAAAGGGAAAUGUUCACACUUCGUUCUCCACUCUUUUAUGUCUUUGGCUCAUGUCCA